rnacentral:rRNA from 1 species
GGAGGGUGCUAGCGUUGUUCGGAAUUAUUGGGCGUAAAGAGCGUGUAGGCGGUUUGGGUAAGUCAGAUGUGAAAGCCCUGGGGCUCAACCCAGGAAGUGCAUUUGAUACUGCCUUACUUGAGUAUGGGAGAGGAGAGUGGAAUUCCCAGUGUAGAGGUGAAAUUCGUAGAUAUUGGGAAGAACACCCGUGGCGAAGGCGACUCUCUGGACCAAUACUGACGCUGAGACGCGUAAGCGUGGGGAGCAAACAGGAUUAGAUACCCUGGUAGUCCACGCCGUAAACGAUGAGAACUAGGUGUAGCGGGUAUUGACCCCUGCUGUGCCGGAGCUAACGCAUUAAGUUCUCCGCCUGGGGAGUACGGCCGCAAGGCUA